rnacentral:rRNA from 1 species
GAGUUUGAUCAUGGCUCAGGAUGAACGCUAGCGAUAGGCUUAACACAUGCAAGUCGAGGGGCAGCACGUAUUCAGCUUGCUGAAUAUGGUGGCGACCGGCGGAUGGGUGCGUAACGCGUAUGCAACUUACCUGUCAGAGGGGGAUAACCCGGAGAAAUUCGGACUAAUACCGCAUAUACUUGAGAUGCUGCAUGGUAUUUCAAGGAAAUAUUUAUAGCUGACAGAUAGGCAUGCGUUCCAUUAGCUGGUAGGUGAGGUAACGGCUCACCUAGGCGACGAUGGAUAGGGGAACUGAGAGGUUAAACCCCCACACUGGUACUGAGACACGGACCAGACUCCUACGGGAGGCAGCAGUGAGGAAUAUUGGUCAAUGGGCGAGAGCCUGAACCAGCCAAUUCGCGUGAAGGAUGACUGCCCUAUGGGUUGUAAACUUCUUUAGUAGGGGAUUAAAGUUUGCCUUGCGAGGC